UGAAGAAGCUGAUGUUAGAUGGUAUAGU
rnacentral:piRNA from 1 species